rnacentral:rRNA from 1 species
AGAUUAGCUGCAGUCUCGUGGGCUCGGAGAUGUGUAUAAGAGACAGGCGUAAUAGCUCACUGGUCGAGAGACCCUGCGCCGAAGAUUCCCGGGGCUAAAGUACGAAACCGAAGCUGUGGCUGUAUACGUAAAGUAUACGGGGUAGGGGAGCGUUCCCAUAGGGUAGAAGUCGAACUGGAAGGUUCGGUGGACUUGUGGGAAGUGAGAAUGUUGGUAUGAGUAGCGAAAAGAAAGGUGAGAAUCCUUUCCACCGAAAGCAUAAGGAUUCCUGAGCAACGAUCGUCGUCUCAGGGUAAGUCGGGACCUAAUCCGAGGCAGAGAGCGUAGGAGAUGGACAACUGGUUGAUAUUCCAGUACCGGUAGUAAUUGUUUGAGCAAUGGAGUGACACAGAAGGGCAGGCAAGCAUGCGAAUGGAAGAGCAUGUGUAAGCGUGUAGGGUGGUGCAUAGGCAAAUCCGUGCACUGAAAGCCUGAGGCGUGAUGCGGAGUGAGCAGAGAUGCGAGCGAAGUUGUUGACCCCACACUGUCGAGAAAAGCUUCUAGUGAGAGAGCUACCGCCCGUACCGUAAACCGACACAGGUAUGCGGGGAGAGAAUCCUAAGGUGCGCGGGAGAACCCUCGUUAAGGAACUCGGCAAAAUGUACCCGUAACUUCGGGAUAAGGGUAGCCACUGUUGUGAAGUCCCAUGCGGAUGGAGCAUAGAGUGGUCGCAGAGAAGAGGCCCAAGCGACUGUUUACCAUAAACACAGGUGCCUGCUAAAGCGAAAGCUGACGUAUAGGUGCUGACACCUGCCCAGUGCCGGAAGGUUAAGGAAGGAUGUUCGGAUUAGUCCAAAGCAUUCGACUGAAGCCCCGGUGAACGGCGGCCGUAACUAUAACGGUCCUAAGGUAGCGAAAUUCCUUGUCGGGUAAGUUCCGACCCGCACGAAAGGUGUAACGAUUUGGGCACUGUCUCAACGAGGGACCCGGUGAAAUUGAAAUACCUGUGAAGAUGCAGGUUACCCGCGACUGGACAGAAAGACCCCAUGGAGCUUUACUGUAACCUGACAUUGGGUUUUGAUACAUUACGUACAGGAUAGGUGGGAGGCUUGGAAAGUUGGACGCUAGUCUGACUGGAGCCGACGUUGGGAUACCACCCUUGAUGUAUUGAAAUUCUAACCGCGAGAGUAACGAAAUCCGGGACAGUGUCAGGCGGGCAGUUUGACUGGGGCGGUCGCCUCCGAAAGAGUAACGGAGGCGCCCAAAGGUUCCCUCAGCGCGGCCGGAAAUCGCGCGAAGAGUGUAAAGGCAGAAGGGAGCUUGACUGCGAGUCAAACACGACGAGCAGGUACGAAAGUAGGGCUUAGUGAUCCGGUGGUACCGAGUGGAAGGGCCAUCGCUCAACGGAUAAAAGCUACCCUGGGGAUAACAGGCUAAUCUCUCCCAAGAGUCCAUAUCGACGGGGAGGUUUGGCACCUCGAUGUCGGCUCAUCACAUCCUGGGGCUGAAGUCGGUCCCAAGGGUUGGGCUGUUCGCCCAUUAAAGUGGUACGUGAGCUGGGUUCAGAACGUCGUGAGACAGUUCGGUCCCUAUCCAUCGCGGGCGCAAGAGAUUUGAAGGGGGCUGCUCCUAGUACGAGAGGACCGGAGUGGACGAACCGCUGGUGUACCAAUUAUCCCGCCAGGGGUACAGUUGGGUAGCUACGUUCGGAAAGGAUAAACGCUGAAAGCAUCUAAGCGUGAAACCAGCCUUAAGAUGAGAUCUCUCAUAGAGCAAUCUAGUAAGACACCUUAAAGAAGAUGAGGUUGAUAGGUCGGGAGUGUAAGUACAGCAAUGUAUUGAGCGGACCGAUACUAAUAUGUCGAGGGCUUGACUUA